GAUAAAUAUGCCAAAAUUUCAGGACAAAUAUUUUAUAAUUUAUUACACAAAGAAGAGAGCUUAUUAGAAAUACUUUCAAGCCGCUGCCGAAAGUGUCAUACAAUCAUGAUCUAUUCAUGCCAGUAUAGCAUAAUAAUUACUCUUAAAGCAGUCAAUUUUUGCCUUCAGCAAUUGGUUAAUCACUUUGCCUUCAGCUAAUGGUAAUUUGGUUAAUUUUAGAACUCAAACAGGCUUUCCGACAACUUGAAUUAAAUUGCAUGACAUGCAGAGAAUAAAAAUAUCUUAAUUUAAAAUUUGCAUCCUAGUCCCGGCUAUUUUUAUCUCCAAGUUCAGUUAUAUAUACCAGCAUUCAUUAAUCUUGCAGCGAAGAAUCUAUAAUGCUUUAAUUUCUUCCUAAAUCUCACACAAACCUCCGAAUAUGGCUUAAUAUAUUUUCAUGAACUCUAGCAAUCUUAUAUGAAAAUUUAACAUCAUUUGGUAUCUCAUUGACAUUGUAAUAUAUGUUGGCCUUUGUGCGGUCAGAUCUAUUUCGGUUAUAAUAGCUUAUAUCCUUGUUUACAUAUCUUAAAUUAACCUAUUUUUGGAUUUAUUUCACUCCAAAACACUUGAAGUUCUUUCAUAUGUCAAUGAUACAAAACUACCGAGUCUGGACUCAGUCCCCCUUGAUGGAUCUCCUGUUUAUGCAAUAUGCUGUUUAAUACCUCCCAGCAGCAACACUUGAGUCUUGACCAAUAAAGUAUAUGGCUCUUUCUACUUGGACCUCUAGAGAGUACAGUUUAUGAUAGAACGGAUAUUAUAGAGUUAUCCAGUAUAAAUGAAGUCAUAGUUUAGUUCAGGCUUCCUCCUAGCUAUAGUAACAAUAAAACAUGACCCUAUAUACUGGACCUCUAGGAAGAACAGUUUAGAACUUAUAUAGAGCUAUCCAGUAUAAAUAAAGUCAGUUUAGU